AGCAGAGGUAGAAUUUCAAAUGGUCUCAGCCGCUGGUGUAAUAGAUUUGUUUUCAGCAUUGUGUUGCAAUGGAAGUCGCCAAACUCAUUACACAUUCACAUGGAUCUUUCCCUAUGUGUUGUCACAUUUUUGGGUAUUUUUCUUGGAGAUUGUCAGGAACACAGAUCAAAGGCAAACGCUGCGGUCCGUGCACCAUAGCUGAGUACCUCGAUAGCUGAAACCCCAGCAGACCCGCGACGGCUGUGGAGAACAGUUUCACUUUUUGUCAUUCCACGAUCGUUCCUUGCGCUUUAUUUUGAUUUGAAACCAAGCGAGUCAUAGGGAGUGAGUGAAUGAAUGGACAUAGGUAUCAUUUAAAUGGAUGGCAUCAUUCAUUUCUAAAUCUGC